rnacentral:misc_RNA from 1 species
GAUGAAGAACGUAGCGAAAUGCGAUAAUUAAUGUGAAUUGCAGAAUUUAGUGAAUCAUCGAAUCUUUUAACGCACAUUGCGCCCCUUGGUAUUCCGGGGGGCAUGCCUGUUCGAGCGUCAUUUCAACCCUCAAGCUCUGCUUGGUCUUGGGCCGCGCCGGCAACGGCGGGCCUCAAAAACAGUGGCGGCGCCAUCUGGUCCCUCAGCGUAGUAAUUCUUCUCGCUGCUGGGCCCCGGUGGCCGCUUGCCAGCAACCCCAAACUUUCUAUGGUUGACCUCGGAUCAGGUAGGGAUACCCGCUGAACUUAAGCAUAUCAAUAAGCGGAGGA